UGGUUUUCUGCUUCAACAAUGUUUGGAUAGAACCG
rfam:Myotis davidii contig186017, whole genome shotgun sequence.